AUUGCUUCUUGGCCUUUUUGUUACUUGGCUAAGAUCAAAUGUAGUAUCUGUUCUUAUCAGUUUUAUAUCUGCUAUGCCCUCUAUCCAAGAACAAUAUAUUAAAUGAAUUUUUGAGGUAGGAGUUGGAAUAAAAGUUUACUCUGUCCACUCCACAAUCUGACAUAGUAUUGCAGAGCUUCCAAGAAUGAUGUACCAAAA